GGGAUGGAGGCGGAGGGAGCCCGGCCACCCGCAGCCUGCGAGCCCCGGGCCGGUUACACUCGUUCCCGGGAGGCGCUGGGAACCGACCGCCCGAGCCGCUUCCCGGAGAGCGCAGCCGACGGGCCGGGGACUGCGAGCCUCCGCCCCCGGGCGCGGGCGCGGGCUGGGCCGGCCCUCCUUUAACGCCCGCGGGGUGAGGGCCCCCGAUUGUGCUGCUGGCAGAACAGUAGCGCUCCCCAGUUUCUGGCAAAACAAGAGCUGGUGAAGAUAUGGAGAAAUGGGAAUGCUCGGGCAGUGUUGGUGGAGAUGGAAAAUGGUGCAGCUGCUAUGGAAAUCAAACAGUAAUGCAGUGCAUCCGAAAAUUUAAAAGAAGUAGCCUUGUGACCUAAGAAUGCCACUUCUGAGUAUAUACCCAGCAGAACUGAAAGCAGGCUUUCAAAGAAGUAUUUGUACAACCAUUUCAUGGCAGCAGGAUUCACAAUGCUUAAAACACAGGAGCAACCCACGUGCCCAUCGACCACUGGAUGGCUUAGCAAACUGUGCCAUAUUAUACAAUGAAGAAUUCAGCCUUAGGAAGGAAAGAAAUUCUGCAAUAUAUUACCACAUGGACGAACCUUGAGAACAUUAUGCUAAGUGAAAGAAACAGUCACAAAAAGACAAAUACUGGGUGAUUCCACUCAUAUGAGGUACUUGGAGUAGUCAAAAUCACAGAGGCAGAAACCAUAAUGGUGGUUGCCAGGGGCUAGGGCAAGUUUGGAGAGUUAUUGUUUAAGGAGUAUAGAGUUUCCGAUUUACAAAAUGAAAAGAGCUCUAGAGAUAGCCCUAGUCAGUUUGGCUCAGUGGAUAGCAUGUUGGCCUGCAGACUGAAGGGCCCAGGGUUCGAUUCCAGUUAAGGGCACAUGCCCAGGUUGUGGGCUUGCUCUCAUCACUGAUGUUUCUAACUCUCCCUCUCCCUUCCUCUCUGAAAUAAAUAAAAAAUCUAUUUUUAGCCCUAA